rnacentral:rRNA from 1 species
AUCGCCUCUUGACUCUAUAAGAGGUCCAGCCUGCCCAGUGACCCUGUUUAACGGCCGCGGUAUCCUAACCGUGCGAAGGUAGCGUAAUCACUUGUUCUUUAAAUGAGGACUAGUAUGAACGGCAUCACGAAGGUUGCACUGUCUCCCCUUUUUAAUCAGUGAAACUAAUCUUCCCGUGAAGAAGCGGGAAUGCUUAAAUAAGACGAGAAGACCCUAUGGAGCUUUAAACUAUCUGACACUUGCUGUUAUCUUAACACUUCAAGUAGCCUCAUAAAAACACAGCAUUAUGAUCACAAGUUUUCGAUUGGGGUGAUCAUGGAGUAAAAACCAACCUCCACGCCAAAUGAGCUCAACCUCUGAACUAUAAGCCACAACUUUACGCACUUAAAAAUUGAUGCCUCUUGACCCAAUAAUUUGAUCAACGAACCAAGUUACCCUAGGGAUAACAGCGCAAUCCACUUCAAGAGCCCCUAUCGACAAGUGGGUUUACGACCUCGAUGUUGGAUCAGGGUGUCCAAGUGGUGCAGCCGCUACUGAUGGUUCGUUUGUUCAACGAUUAAAACCCU